rnacentral:tRNA from 1 species
CAGGGAAUAGUUUAAGUUAGAAUUUCGGCUUUGGGUGUUGAUGGUGGAGCAAGUUGCUUCUUCCCUGN